UCCAGACUCCUACGGGAGGCAGCAGUGGGGAAUAUUGCACAAUGGGGGAAACCCUGAUGCAGCGACGCCGCGUGAGUGAAGAAGUAUUUCGGUAUGUAAAGCUCUAUCAGCAGGGAAGAUAAUGACGGUACCUGACUAAGAAGCCCCGGCUAACUACGUGCCAGCAGCCGCGGUAAUACGUAGGGGGCAAGCGUUAUCCGGAUUUACUGGGUGUAAAGGGUGCGCAGGUGGCAGGGCAAGUCAGAUGUGAAAGCCCGGGGCUCAACCCCGGUAUUGCAUUUGAAACUGUCCGGCUAGAGUGCAGGAGAGGUAAGCGGAAUUCCUAGUGUAGCGGUGAAAUGCGUAGAUAUUAGGAGGAACACCAGUGGCGAAGGCGGCUUACUGGACUGUAACUGACACUGAGGCACGAAAGCGUGGGGAGCAAACAGGAUUAGAUACCCUGGUAA
rnacentral:rRNA from 1 species